UUUGCCGGUCGUUUCAGGACAAAGCUUCCCAGCGCUGCUGUGAAUGUGCGGAGCAGACACACGAGCCGAGCCCGCUGCUUGCUUGGAAAGGCUGGCUUUGCGCCUGCGCCCCCCGACUCGGCUGGAGCUGCUCCGCCAUGCGCACUGGGCUUCCACGAUAGGGUUAGGGUUGAGCGGUCUCCGGCCGCGCUCGCGCCCUGCAGACAGCGCGAGCCGGCGCCGAGUGAGGAGCUGUCCGCGCGGCGCUGCUCCUCCAGUGCUGAUGCUGAGCGUGCACCUCUCCGGGAGGGGCCCCCCGCGCUCCCUAGGUGACCUCAGUGCGACAGAGGGAAAGAGUGCAGCGCCCACAAUAAGAGCCACCUGAGGAGAAGUGGAUUAUUGUCCAAAGCCAUAUGCCCUAUGGAGGGGAAAGAGCUGCAACAUAUGCAGUGAGAUGGCUCCUAGGAGGCGGCAUAUGGCCCAUGUGGAGACAGACCUCACCCAGGAAUGGGUCGCAGUGACUGCAAAGGGCCUCUUCUCCAUCUUAAUGAUUUGGAUCAUGAGGUUUAAGAGCAAAUACCCGUUGGAAUAGAACAGCACAACAAGCACACAAAAAAUGCCUUGCUGGUACAGCAUUUCAAAGGAAUAGCUGCUUCUCCAAGACCGCAUCCUGACCUGGCCUGACAAUCCCAUGGAGUUUGUGCAUUUUGUACUUUAUGAGAUUAUUGUUAUACAAAGUGUCAGUGUGUGCUGUAUGAGACACAAAUAAAGCCAAGCUUUCCUCAUCAA